UAUCCGCCUAUCCGGAGUACAUACUUCUUUAUGUACCCAUAUGGACAUAUGAAAGCUAUGGAAUGUAAAGAAGUAUGUAUUUUUGAUCAGGCACUGAGC
rnacentral:miRNA from 1 species